ACAAUAUUGGCAUUGUUCUCAAUCUGGUUCGCUUCAGCCAUGUUAGCGAUACCUUGCCUUCUAUAUUCAACUACAAAUUCUCGAAGAUAUAAUAGCGGAAAUACUAGAAUCGUCUGUUAUAUGCAAUGGCCUGAUGGAAGUUAUCCAAACAGUAAAACCGAAUACAUAUACAAUUUAGUAUUUCUCGGAGUAACAUACCU